rnacentral:rRNA from 1 species
GAUGAACGCUGACAGAAUGCUUAACACAUGCAAGUCAACUUGAAUUUGGGCUUUUAACUUAGGUUUGGGUGGCGGACGGGUGAGUAACGCGUAAAGAACUUGCCUCACAGCUAGGGACAACAUUUGGAAACGAAUGCUAAUACCUAAUAUUAUGAUAAUAGGGCAUCCUAUAAUUAUGAAAGCUAUAAGCGCUGUGAGAGAGCUUUGCGUCCCAUUAGCUAGUUGGAGAGGUAACGGCUCACCAAGGCGAUGAUGGGUAGCCGGCCUGAGAGGGUGAUCGGCCACAAGGGGACUGAGACACGGCCCUUACUCCUACGGGAGGCAACAGUGGGGAAUAUUGGACAAUGGACCGAGAGUCUGAUCCAGCAAUUCUGUGUGCACGAUGAAGUUUUUCGGAAUGUAAAGUGCUUUCAGUUGGGAAGAAACAAAUGACGGUACCAACAGAAGAAGUGACGGCUAAAUACGUG